AUCUCACAUUUAACAUUUAUCAGUUUGUAAAUGGAAUUAAAAACCCAAAUUUACAUAAAUAUAUAAAUGUCAAUGAAAAAUACUUAUUUUGAAUAUAAUUAAAAUAUAUACAUAUUGAAACAAAUGAAUAUUUUAUUUCAAAUAUGUAGCUGAACUCAUAAGUUCAAUGUAAUUAAAGAUUAACCAUUUGUGAUUCUUGACCACCUUUCAUUUUUAAACAACUUUGUGCCCAUUCUAAAAAGGUGCCUUGCUUUGUUUAUAGGCUAUCUGUUAGCUUAGAAUCAGAAUGAGCUUAACAGUAACCUAUAGGCAGCAGUGCAGCUCUUUAGUUUUAAGAACAAACAGGACCCAAACAGUGUCUUUUAUUGAAUCUAGAAGCAGACACUGCAGGGCGUUGACUGCAAACAUUCAGUCUGUCUCCAGCUCAGCACUGUAUUGGUUCUCGGGUGAUAACUGGACCCAUAACACCUGCUGGUUCUGCCCACUUCAAGGUCAUCGCUGGGCCCAGAGCACAGCUGUCCUGUGAAUCUUAUCAGGCCAUGAAUGGUGCAUUUGUGCAUCUGCAUGGGACGGCCCGGCACAGCCUGUGUGGGGGGUACAAACAUGCACACAGGCCAACAGUCGUACAGAUGAUGCUUCAAACAUCACACAUACAGACAAGAGAUUAUAGCAACAGCAUAAAGACUUCAGGUUCAGUAUUACUGAAGACCAACAAACUCCAGAAUCACCACUAAAAACACUACAACUAUUAGUAGGGGUGUAAAGAUUCACUGUCUUUCAGCUUAAGGCGUUUCCUUGGUUACCGCUGUAAACAAAGCGCUUGUGAACACCGCAGCAGGUGGAGCUUAAGGCGUUUCCUUGGUUACCGCUGUAAACAAAGCGCUUGUGAACACCGCAGCAGGUGGAGCUUAAGGCGUUUCCUUGGUUACCGCUGUAAACAAAGCGCUUGUGAACACCGCAGCAGGUGGAGCUUAAGGCGUUUCCUUGGUUACCGCUGUAAACAAAGCGCUUGUGAACACCUCAGAAGGUGGAGCUUAAGACGUUUCCUUGGUUACCGCUGUAAAGAAAGCGCUUGUGAACACCUCAGAAGGUGGAGCUUAAGACGUUUCCUUGGUUACCGCUGUAAACAAAGCGCUUGUGAACACCUCAGAAGGUGGAGCUUAAGACGUUUCCUUGGUUACCGCUGUAAACAAAGCGCUUGUGAACACCUCAGCAGGUGGAGCUUAAAGUGUUUCCUUGGUUACCGCUGUAAACCAGUCUUUGUGGCUGCAGAGAUGUUAUGGGGUGGUUGCCAGGUGCGUUGCUAGGGUUUCCUGGGAGACUGCAGACUAGUUAAUGCAGUUGUUAAAGUGUUUGGAUAAUUUUAGGGUGCUGCUGAGUGGUUGCUAGGGUCUUCUAAGACUUUCCUAUGUAGAUACUCAGACGUUUUUAAAAUGUUGCUAUGCGACUACAAAUAUGUUUUGGUGGGUUGCUAGGGUUUUCUGGGAGGCUGCAACUUUGUUUAGUGUUAAAAGUGUUGCUAGGGUGUACCGAGUGGUUCUCAGCAUGUUGCUAUGUGAUUGCUAGGCUGUUGUAUAGUGGUUGCUAAGGGCAUUGCUAUCUGGUUGCUAAAUGGUGUGUAACGUUAUCUGGGUUGUUUUCUAUGUGGAUACUAAAAAGGUGCCAUCGUAGCUGGUUGCUAGCGUUUUCUGGGUUGCUGCAAAUGUGUUGCUAAGGUCUUCUGGGUAGUUGCUAGGGUGUUCUUUGUUUUCACUCACAAGAUAUGACUCGCCCCUUCUUCGAUGUAAUAAACACAUUUUAUUAAGCAUUUAAAGGUAUAAUUACAUUUUACAAAUUACUGAUCUUACUUCAGCACACAUAAAACACAUAAAACCCCAAACUGGUCUGAGAUCAGUGGUUUACAGCUCUGGGACGCCCCACCAGUGGACUGUGGUGGCAGAUGCUAUAAAUAGGCUCCAUUGGUGGGGCGUUUUAAUUAAAUAUGAGGUAACAUGAUCUGUGUAGGGCAGACAGCAGCUCAUCCUAUCCAUUCGUUAUCAUUAACAGCUAAAUGGCUCUCAUGCGUGGUAACUUCAGCUUACUGUUAUGACAACAGGGUCAGAGUCUAUACAGGAAACAAUGAGACAAUCUCAUGAGCACCUACUCGACCGAAAACAUGAAACGGACAUGACAGGAGAUUCUAAUCUAAUGAGUACAGUGCAAUCAAACACUUCUGUACUGCAUCACCUGCUGGAACGAGGUGUUGGGUGACAGCAGAUGAAAACUGUCCUGGGAAGUUAUGUUCUGGAUCUCAGAGUAAAGUCAACUACAUACUAGAGAGAUCUAUGUUGGACAGAUGCAUACAAUUAGUGUAUAAAAAAAACACCAGCUAUAGCAAGACCUCAGAAACCAUCCAGAAGACCUCAGCAACUGCACAAUAAUGACCUAGCAACUUCUCGGAUAUUAGUUACUUUGCAGUAACAUGCUUAAAACACUCUGAACACCAGCAGCACAUGACAGGUACUCCUGAAAGGAUUGGCACAUUUGAACAAAACCGGUAAGAGUGAUCAACACCUAAAUACAAUACCAUAAACUAGCCAGCUCGGCAUUAACACUGCAAUUCAAUCCGAAGCACAAUCUAACAAGAAAAUUAGAUUAUGAAGAGGCUGUUAAAUUGGCAGUUUUUGCAUGAAAUGCAAUGUUUAAAUAGAUGAUUGUUUGUCUGAACAUUUGCGUCGUGACUCUGUGCAUCAUCUGUGGUUGUUCACCCCCCCAAAAUGCAACAACAUUCUUUCACACACACACACACACACACACACGUGAUCUAUCUCCUUCUGCAUUUUAAAAGCACAACCCAAAAGACGAGAGGACAGUAAGUCUGACGCCGUCAAUGCAGGACAUUCCUGAGUUAACUGUCCUGUGGCUUAAGGCCUAAAAUAAGAUUAGGCAGCUACUCGGAAAUCACACAGAUUUUCUAAACCUAGAAUCCAUUCUCUAGUGUCCACUAUGGUUUUACAAAAAAACACACAUAAAAAGAAAGUACAGCUUAAAAAAACUGACCUUUUGACAAUACAAACAUUACUAAAUUUAACUUAAUUGUAUGUAGCCGGUAAAAUGGUUGUGAAUAUAUUGUGAAUAUUCUGUAUGCAUAUAUAAAUGUUGAAAAACAUUUUCUUAGUAUUUUGAAAAUUAUAAAAAAAUAGUAUUAACAAAUAAUGUCUUUAUGAUGUACAAUUUAUAAUAUUAUUGCACACACCCGAAAAUCCUGGCAACCAACCUCUCAGAAGAUCUUAUUAACUUAAUUGCAGUAUGUUUAAAGAAAAUAAUCAGCAAGUUAUUGCUGAAAAAAAUAGCAAACUAUGAAAGUGUAAAAAAAAGUUACAGAAGUUUACGUUUACUUUAAAGGAAACAUACAAUACUAAAAAAAACUGCUUAAAUAGUCAUCAAAUCAAAGCCAUGUUUAAAGAUAUGUUCCAAAUUUGAAGUUGAUAUUACAAAAAAGUGGAGGUACCUAUAAGAUGUUGUUUAGGUGCUAUACCAAAAAUAGCCACUAGUUGAUAGCCAAACUAGAUUUUUUUUUAAUGCAAUUCGUCACAAAUGCAUAGAUAUGUCAGAAUAUUACUAAAAUAGUCACCGUAUACGGAACCUUGAGACUUAGACCUUUCCAAUAAUAUGUGAUUUGUCAAGAUUAGAAAAGAUUUCAAUGAUAAAAUAUUGUAUUGAUUUAUCCACUAGUAAAAAAUUGUAGUAAAAAAAUCCCCACUAAGGGGAGGAGCCUGCUGAAAGGAUUUAAAGUAUGGUAAAACAAUGUCCGAUUCCGCUCGCAUGUUUCUUUUAUAAAAUUUUUGCAGACAUAAAAAAAAGGUUUUAUAAGUUACAAAAUGCAACAGGGUCCAAUGUCCGAUUUCAGUUUUCACAAGAUGAAUUUUUGAAGUUUCAACUUUCGAAUGAUAACUAAUUUAGGAUGAUUACUAAAAUAUGUGAGGGGGAAAAGGCAAUAAUAAAAGAGCCCCAUAACAUGCAUAUAUCGUCUUUCUAAUGUACACUUUUCUUAUAUUAUUGCAUGCUAAAUGGUUGACUAUAGGGAAGUGGGUGUUGACUGGUGCUAAUGUGUGAAUACUAAUGCGCUUACGAUUGCCCUUCAGGCCAAUUUAAUGAACUGACGAUGGUUGGUUGUCCUGAACGUGUGUGUGCAAAGGUCAAGAAAACCCAGCCUCAGUUUGACCCCCAAAGCUUUCAAUCCUGCAAACGUGACCUAAUGCUUUCAGAAGUGCACGUGAGUCCGUGAGGAAGCAUUGAUUAACUCAAUUGACGGAAUGGUUACCAAGGACAUAAACAAUUCUACAGUUGCCACGGACACCAUCCAGCUCCAUUAUGAUGUCACAGCCUCAUCAAGAAUGCAGUUACAAUCCCAUGUGCAGCAUUACCAGAGUCUGGAACAUCAUAAUCAUGUCUUUGCAUCGGUGUUUCAGCAUUUUUACGCUUUUCAGGAAGCUUCACUGUGCUGUUGUUGAUUUGAUGUACAUUGCACUUAUAUUAGAACUAAUAAACGUGUUUGUAAGAUGCUCUCAUAUUGAGAAAAAAAACAAUGAGAUUUAAUUCUCUGCAAUCAUGCCCAAUGCGUCUAUACAGUGUUUAAAGUCAAAAGCAUUUCUGUAGCCUCUCUCCUCAAAGCUGCUGCACAAAAUGUCAGAACGAUUUAAAAAAUGUCAGAUUAAGAGUUCCUACCAUCACCACAACUAAUUAUUCAAAUAUCCCCCACUAGGGAGCUCUUGUGUUACCCAUAAGCUAUUUGGAAACAUAUCUGACCCCACAAUUCCCAAGGCGCACACGUUAAAGGAACAGUACACCAAAAAUUACAAAUCUAAUUUACAGAAUAAUUGAGAAUUAUGGCAGUUCCUCACACAAAACUAUUCCAAAAGGGCAGAAGGAUAUUAUUAUAAUUUAUAAAGUUAUAAUUUUUUUUUUUUACCCUCAUCGGGUUUAGUCCCCAUCCACUUGCAUUGUAUGAAACAGAUUGCCAAUGAUAUUGGGCUAAAUUUGUUUUUGCGUCAUUAAAUACAGUAAAUUCACGAUGUUUUAACAUCGUAAGGGUGAGUAAACACGGACUAAAUUAGCAUUUUUAGGUGAUCUGUCCCUUUAAGACCAACAUCAUUUCUGUUAUUUCAACAACGCAUCAAUCAGAGACGCGUAAAUCUUUAUCCACGUCAUUUUUUUUCCUACUACGCGGUCUAAUUGUUUAAGUAUAAGAGUAUAUAAUGUCCUUAAGAGGUUCAAUACGAUCUGUGGUUUGCGAAUCCCUUUAAAUCCACGAGAGCUGCACCUGUGCAGCCGCCCGACGGGUUUACUGUGGGGUGUGAUGUCUGUUUCUGUAUCCUACGACACCCUGUUAUUGGAUACACAUUAUAUACUGUACUAUUAUAGCACUAUAUAACGUUAUACAGGGAAUAAAGCAAUGUAGUCCUGUGCCAAUUCAUGAAACGAUCUCUAAAACCCAUCACUGACAAUCACGCGCACGUUAAUGAAAGGCGAGCACGCGUUACCUGGGA